rnacentral:rRNA from 1 species
CGGGUGAGUAAUGUAUGGGGAUCUGCCUGAUGGCGGGGGAUAACUACUGGAAACGGUAGCUAAUACCGCAUAACGUCGCAAGACCAAAGAGGGGGACCUUAGGGCCUCUUGCCAUCGGAUGUGCCCAGAUGGGAUUAGCUAGUAGGUGGGGUAACGGCUCACCUAGGCGACGAUCCCUAGCUGGUCUGAGAGGAUGAUCAGCCACACUGGAACUGAGACACGGUCCAG